AUGACAGAUCUUGUUGAAAAUAUGUGCAAAAAGUAUAUAGAGAUGAUUAUCAAUAUAGUAAUAUUGAGCUUGGUCAUUUGCAUUUCUCUAGCGCUCUGGAUUAUGUCAAUGACUGCUAGCACCUUUUUAACAGAAACUUGACACAUGUUAAUUUGUGGUGUUGGCUGUUCUCCCAUUGUUUUUUCUGUUGUGAUCGCCUAUAAUGGCUUUAAAAAGAAAAGUCUAGAUCACAGUAGGGCUUUAGAAGGAGCCUUGCUGG
rnacentral:lncRNA from 1 species